GGGGAUGUAGCUCAUCAUAUGGUAGAGCGCUCGCUUUGCAUGCGAGAGGUACGGGGAUUGAUACACCGCAUCUCCA
rfam:Ipomoea nil DNA, scaffold: scaffold1317, cultivar: Tokyo-kokei standard.